GCCUCCGGGGGGCAGCAGUAGGGAAUCUUCCACGCUGGACGAAAGUCUGAUGGAGCAACGCCGCGUGAGUGAAGAAGUAAUUCGUUAUGUAAAGCUCUAUCAGCAGGGAAGAAAAUGACGGUACCUGAGUAAGAAGCCCCGGCUAACUACGUGCCAGCAGCCGCGGUAAUACGUAGGGGGCAAGCGUUAUCCGGAUUUACUGGGUGUAAAGGGAGCGUAGACGGCAGGGCAAGUCUGGAGUGAAAGGCGGGGGCUCAACCCCCGGACUGCUCUGGAAACUGUACGGCUGGAGUGCAG
rnacentral:rRNA from 1 species